ACUCCCCUUGACAAGGAUGGAAGAGGCCCUUGGGCCUAACAACACGCAUACGGUUAAGGCAUUGCCACCUACUUCGUGGCAUCUAACCACUGUUUUUA
rnacentral:ncRNA from 1 species